rnacentral:ribozyme from 1 species
UGCCCAGCAACUCCUAUCCCUACCUCCGCGUAGAACCGGCCGGGUGGCGAGCAACCUUAGAGAAGAUCGGGUAACCAGCCCCAGUGGAAACUUUGGUCGAUGGCUGACAGGGAAGG